GGCUCGGUAGCGCAACGGUAGCGCAUCUAUCUCUGAGACAGAAAGUUCUCGGUUCGACUCCGAGUCGAGCUA
rnacentral:tRNA from 1 species